rnacentral:rRNA from 1 species
GACGAACGCUGGCGGCGUGUUUAACACAUGCAAGUCGAACGGAAAGGCCCUGCUUGCCGGGUACUCGAGUGGCGAACGGGUGAGUAACACGUGGGUGAUCUGCCCUGCACUUCGGGAUAAGCCUGGGAAACUGGGUCUAAUACCGGAUAGGAGCCAUUUUUAGUGUGAUGGUUGGAAAGUUUUUUCGGUGUAGGAUGAGCUCGCGGCCUAUCAGCUUGUUGGUGGGGUAAUGGCCUACCAAGGCGGCGACGGGUAGCCGGCCUGAGAGGGUGGACGGCCACAUUGGGACUGAGAUACGGCCCAGACUCCUACGGGAGGCAGCAGUGGGGAAUAUUGCACAAUGGGCGCAAGCCUGAUGCAGCGACGCCGCGUGGGGGAUGACGGCCUUCGGGUUGUAAACUCCUUUCGCUAGGGACGAAGCUUUUUGUGACGGUACCUAGAUAAGAAGCACCGGCUAACUACGUG